AGUUGCUCUUCCUUCCACUGUGCUGCCAACAGCAGUCUGGAGACCCAGGAGGGCUAUGACUAAGAACUGAGUCUCAUGUCGUGAGUGUGUAUGUAUAUAUAUAUGCGCAUUCCUUCUUCCAAAAGUAGAGACAUCAGAGCUCAGGCGGCUGGCAAAUACAGGCAAGGAAGCAGCACAGCUGGAAUGCUUAUGACCUCAGCCGUAAUCCAGCGUUCAUGGCACGAGAAGCGAGCUGGAUCCUCCAGCCCAUUCAUUUUGAUGCCAAGCCUGCCCCGAGUGAUUGUUUUGGCCAGAGGUGAUGAAGAAGCAGGCGACACCACCACAGAGUUCUCUCCAGGCAAGUCUUGCUUAAAAGCGAUCCGUGGAAAGGAACAGCCAAGUCGGACAAGCAAGACAUUGUUGGCAAGGAACUCAGAGAGGAAAACAAAACACUUUUCCAUGGGCUAUUUUAACAUACCGAACGGGCUUGAAAACAAGGGAUGGGUGGGAUGGGCUUAUGCUAACAUGGCAAAAGCCACAGAGACCCUGUGCAGCAGUACUUGCAUGCUUUAAGGUCAAAUGCGUGCCAUUGUCCCAUCCUGUGUAAUGCCCCCCCAACCCCAAAGCACCAUUUCUCAUAACCCCACUCAUGUUAUAGGAAUCUGCUUUAUACUUUAGUCAGGGUGUUUCCGGACCAUCCGUUUUUCUGGGUGGGAUUCAGUCAUGUACCAGCAAAUCCAAGCUGCAUGGUUACAUUUGAUUGGGAGGUCAUGCAAGCCCAAUCUAAAGGGCAAAGCUCAGAUGACCUUUCUUUAACAUAUAUAGCAUGAUGUUAUUUCUUAGACCAAUAUUGAGGCCCAGUGCCAUCGGUAUAUGCAAAUGCCUGGCUCAUUUAAGGCUAUAUAGAAUCUUUAUUUUCAGUAAUGAUGCAACUCACAGGUGGAGAAUACUUUUAUUUGUAUAUGUCUUUAUUGUUUGCAAAGGGAAUCAUUGUAUGAGUUAGUUCUUUACUAUUGAUUUGUAGCUGCACUGUGUCUUUUUCUACUUUUGUCUUUCUAGGCCAUGAUGCUUUGUGGUUCGAUUCUUUGUUUCCUUUCUUUUGUUAUGUUUGCAUUAUUAAAAUGCAUCAAUAAAAUUUUAAAAAUA